rnacentral:rRNA from 1 species
CAGCUUGCUGCUUCGCUGACGAGUGGCGGACGGGUGAGUAAUGUCUGGGAAACUGCCUGAUGGAGGGGGAUAACUACUGGAAACGGUGGCUAAUACCGCAUAACGUCGCAAGACCAAAGAGGGGGACCUUCGGGCCUCUUGCCAUCAGAUGUGCCCAGAUGGGAUUAGCUUGUUGGUGAGGUAACGGCUCACCAAGGCGACGAUCCCUAGCUGGUCUGAGAGGAUGACCAGCCACACUGGAACUGAGACACGGUCCAGACUCCUACGGGAGGCAGCAGUGGGGAAUAUUGCACAAUGGGCGCAAGCCUGAUGCAGCCAUGCCGCGUGUAUGAAGAAGGCCUUCGGGUUGUAAAGUACUUUCAGCGGGGAGGAAGGUGUUGUGGUUAAUAACCGCAGCAAUUGACGUUACCCGCAGAAGAAGCACCGGCUAACUCCGUGCCAGCAGCCGCGGUAAUACGGAGGGUGCAAGCGUUAAUCGGAAUUACUGGGCGUAAAGCGCACGCAGGCGGUCUGUCAAGUCGGAUGUGAAAUCCCCGGGCUCAACCUGGGAACUGCAUUCGAAACUGGCAGGCUUGAGUCUUGUAGAGGGGGGUAGAAUUCCAGGUGUAGCGGUGAAAUGCGUAGAGAUCUGGAGGAAUACCGGUGGCG